UCUCCGUUGGUGAACCAGCGGAGGGAUCAUUACCAGAGUUUUACAACUCCCAACCCUUCUGUGAACCUACCUAUCGUGUCUUCGGCGGACUCGCCCCAGCGUCCGGACGGCCCCGGGCCGUCCCGCGACCUGGACCCCCGCCGCCGCCGGAGACCACACAAUCCUGUAUCCAUCAGUCUCUCUGAAUCCGCUGCAAGGCAAAACAAACGAAUAAAAACUUUCAACAAUGGAUCUCUUGGUUCUG
rnacentral:misc_RNA from 1 species